rnacentral:misc_RNA from 1 species
GAUGAAGAACGUAGCGAAAUGCGAUACUUGGUGUGAAUUGCAGAAUCCCGUGAACCAUCGAGUCUUUGAACGCAAGUUGCGCCCGAAGCCAUUUGGUUGAGGGCACGUCUGCCUGGGCGUCACAUAUCGUUGCCCGAUGCCUAUUGCACGGUGAUAGGAAAUUCUAGGGCGAAAGAUGGCUUCCCGUGAGCGUUGUUGCCUCGCGGUUGGUUGAAAAUUGAGUCCUUGGUAGGGUGUGCCAUGAUAGAUGGUGGUCGAGUUUGCACGAGACCGAUCAUGUGUGCGCUCCCCAAAAUAUGGACUCUUUGACCCCACACGCGUCUUUUGACGCUCAUGACGAGACCUCAGGUCAGGCGGGGCUACCCGCUGAGUUUAAGCAUAUCAAUAAGCGGAGGA